AAAUAAAUUUAAGUAUCAAUUGUUUUAAUCUAGCUUUUAAUUUUAUCAGUAUUUUUAAUCUUCUAACGCAAAAAUAAAAUUCUAUAUUUGAUGUGCCUCAAAAUUUGUUUAUUGAGUUCGAUUUUGUUCCCUUAAUUCGCCAAAAGUUUCGCGGUGUGACAAAUUUUGAUAAAAUAAUUUAUGAAAAAAAAUUGAUGUCUAUGAUAGAAGCGGAGGGAUCAGAUAUGCAAAUUAAAAAUUUGGCCGUAUAUUGAUAAAUAAAAAUAUUAAAUUAUAACAUUUUUGACUUAUCUAACAAGUAGAUUUUCGAUUUACAAUGUCUUUGGAGGGUGUGGGAUACUCCGGAUGCUUCUUGGUACCCAAAGAACAAAGCAAAAAGAAAAAAAGCAAAAAAAAAAGUGUGCCGGCACGGCACAGUGCCAUGGCAUAGACCUGCGUAUCACGCUGUCUCGCGCGAUACGCAGGUCCGUGCUGCCGCAUGAAGGGGGGGUCCGAGACCCCCCAUGUACCGGCACGGUACGUGUCGCCCCAUGCCGUAUGGCACGGGGCGAUACUUUAAACCUUGACUUGCAUAAUGCAAAUAAAAUUUCUUACACAAAUUUCAAUCUUUUAUAGAGUUGAGGUGGCUUUCUUUUGAGUUUGCUAUUGACUGUGAGUUUGCUUGGUGCUCUUUAGCUGAUGGCAUUUACUGAUGCUCACAGGAUAUAUCAAAUAAAGAUUUGUCCGCAUUGGCUAAAGCUGCUUUUAAGUUACUAAGCUGGAGAAUUCUACCACGGCCUUUUUUGGAACGUUUUGUUUCAGUGAUCCUUUCUUCAAUCAAUGAUUCUAAUUGGAGAACUCGAUAUGAAUCUAUCACUUUUCUUGGUAUCUUUAUGUACAGGUUUGAAUUUUAGUUAUCUCUCAUUUUGUUUUGAAAAUGUGAUUUUACCUGUCAGAAUAAACAUUUGGUUUAUAAUGUUUUAGUUUUUCAUAUUGUUCUUUAGGCUGCUAAACUUUUAACACAUCUCAGUCUAUCUUUAAUGAUAUCUCGUUUUGCCCUGCCAAAUCUCCUCUUUCACUUAUUGCUAUUGUUUCUCAACAACUGAUCACAAAUUAGGGAGAGCAUGGGCAAAUAUUUACCUAGCAGAAUAUUCCCACCCUUUGGUACUUUAUUCUUAGUUUUUGUUUUGUAUCUUCUGAAGUGAUAUGUGUGAUAUCUUAUGGUGUAAAUAUUUUCUAAAUAUUUGUAUGAUUAUACCGAAUCAUCAGUGAUGCAUUUCAUUUUAUUGCUAUCGUGAAUGCCACAAAAUAUGUACCUAUAAAGUAUAAACCGAUGUUGCAUCCAUCCUGAACAAGAAUUAUAAUGAUGGGUUUUCUGGCAUAUUUGUACAAUGACCACUUCAUCCUAAUUACCCUCAUCUCCAACAAUAGUAGCCAAGGAUGGGGUGAGAUUCUCAUUUUGCAUUAGGUUAUUGUAGAUGAUACAGCAUCCUUAGUAUGAUGUCAUGUCAUCUUAAUAUUUGCUUUUGCAUCGACCUUUUUCUUUUCAUUACUUCUAUGGAGAUUCAUGGUGGUAUUUGAUUCAAAGUAGGACUAGUUUGGAAGUUAAAUCCUUUAGAUAGUAGUUGUUCAGGCAGGAAUAUUGAGUAUUUUGUAGAUGUCUAGAUUAAUUCCUCCUUUCUUAUUUCUCUGUGCAUGGAAGUAUCUUUGCGUAGGAGAGAAAGUUCUUAGAGUUAUUACUUAUGAGAUGCUUCAUGACACGUCAUUGACUUCACCAAUAACUUUUUUUUUGUGUAUUUCUAAAUUUUAUUCUUCAGGAAAAUAUGAUUUAUAUUUUUACAUUGCAAAAUUCAGAAGAAAAAUGACAAAAGGUUUCAAUUCUUGAUUACUCAGUGUUUCAUAAGGGCUUUUUUCUAUUCUGCUAGUGAACUCUACUUUCUUGACACGAUGACAAGACUAAAAAAAAAAAAAAACUUAACUCCAAGAAAAGUGUCUCGCAGACUAUGAUUCUAACACUUCGCCAGCGUUUUAACAGGCACACUUUCACUCUAUCUAGAUUGGAAAAAUCACAAAUAUGGCAGAACAUUGAGAAGCUACUUGUUGACAAACAAGUUGAGGCAAGUCCAUCUAUUUGGUUUUCAUUCUCUCAAAAUGCUCUCUUGAAUUUCUAUUUCAUAAUUUUUUCUGGAAUUGGAAAAGGACGUAUUGAAAAAUUUAAAGGAAAAAAAGAAGCUAAAAAUUUGAUUUUUUUUUUUAAUGGCAAACUGCUUGAAGCCCUUACACUAGUAAAAGCACAUACUUGUAACUAUUUUGCUACUCUUUUAUCAUGUGAUUCUAUUCACUAUGUCAAAAUUUUGAUUACAUUAGAACGUACUUUCACAAUUUUAGAAGGGGAAAAAAAUCCAGACUCACCUAAACUUGGCCAGAUCACGAGUACAAAUUGCCGUCCAAAGUUUAAAAAUUUGAAGUUUACUACAUUGAUAAUUAGUUUGUUUCAACUCGCUUACCUGAAUUUCCGGCCUGAUUUCACCCAUAGUUUGGCACUAUUACAAAACUUAAAAAAGUAAUAUAAAGAACAUGUUGCGAAAAAAAAGAAAAGAAUAAUGCACGGAUGUCCACGCAUGUUUUCAAUGGUUGGAAAGUGUGAAAGAAAAUUACAUUUAUUUUCUGAACUCAGGCACAUGUUUUUUCAAUGGUUGGAAAGUGUGAAAGAAAAUUACAUUUAUUUUCUUAACUCAGGCACAUGUUUCGAAAAUAUACUGCACAUUAUCUGCUAUUCUUUUCUCUGCAUGAAAGCUCAGGUGAGAGAGCAUGCUGCAUUAAUUCUUGCAAGCUUAAUGAAGGGCGGAGACCGUGAUCUAUAUAGGGAGUUUCGUGAUCGAUCAUAUGCCAAAGCACAAUCAGUUAUGCAGAAGGGAAAACCGAGGUUUAAUAUUGACUUCUAAAAUUUUUUUUUGUGAUUAUUUUACAUUAGCUGAACUUCCUCCUUUUUUCUCGUUACUUAGUGCCUGAAUUCUCUGUUCUUUACCUGCUUAAGUGGAUAGAUAUCUGUUAUGCCUAUUGUAGUGGAUUAAAUGAAAAUUAUGCUACUGCAGAAAAACUUCUCAUCAUUCGGUAGCUUCUAUACAUGGUGUGGUCCUUGCUCUCGCUGCUUCAAUACUAUCAGUUCCAUAUGAUAUGCCCAGGUCUGUGGUGCGACAAAAAGUUCCUAUCUUAAGCCCACAAUAAAACAGAGGCAUUUAGUUUCAGUUAUCUAUAUUCUUUCAGCUGAAAAAUGUCAACCUGUUAAAUUAUAUAAAACAACUGCUAUUCUCCAAUAGCUUAAAAUAUCAAGGAACAUUUAUAUUCAACACUCCUCCUCCCGUUUGGACUCAAGACAUUUUGAUAAGCUCAAGACUUGGACUUGAAUUAAAUGAGAGAAAAUUAGUUAUAUUAAAAGCCUGGUGGGAGUUGACCUCAUGACCUCUGGCUCUGAUACUAUAUUAAAUUGUGUGAAACAAUUGUUGUUCUCCGAUUGCUUAAGCUACCAGAGAACGGUAUUUUUAAUUUUUUGUAUUCAACACAACCAAAUAUAGAUGCCAGUUUGGGCUUAUUAUAUUUCAGGAGUUAUUGCUUAUAUGUUCUCUGGUUUAUAAGUUGAUGUCGUAGUGUCUAAAUCACCUGCAACAUUAACUUUAAUGUCUAAAUGACCUGCAACAUGAACUUAAUUUUGAAAUUUGAACAAUGAAGUUCUCUUCUAUGUAAUUAGAAACUUAGUAUAAUAAGCUAAUCUAGAGCUAUCAGUAUUUGACUAGAAUGCUUUUCUUCAUGUCUUUUGGAUGGAUGGUAGGAGAUUGUGUUAAAUUGUACGAAAUAACCGUUAUUCUCCAAAAGCUUAAGUUGUUAGAUAAUAGUGUUUUACUAUUUAUAUUCGACACUCCCUCUCACGUCUCUGCUCGAGACUUUUUUUAUAGACUCAAGACAUGGACUUGAAUUACAUGGAGGAAAUUAAAUAAUACUAGGAGCCUGGUGGGACUCGAACUCCGUACCUCUUGUUCUGAUACCAUAUUAAAUUAUACAAAAUUACCGUAAUUCUCCAAAAGGAGCAAAUGAAAUAUAAAAAAAUACCAUUCUCUAGUUGUUUAAGCUUUUAGAGCAAACAGUUGUUUUACAUGAUUUAACAUAUUGCAAUAGAAAAAUUUUUUAAAAAAAAUUCCUGUCUAUGACUAGUCAUAGAUAAACUAAUCCACAUCCUAAGAAAGGUGGCUGAAAACUCUGAGAUGGAUUGUUUUUUAAAAAAAAAACAAAGUUAAAAAGAGCUUACGAGGAUAAGGUCUUUGAAUCAUCAUAGUGGAAGUAUAGAAAAUACAAAGAGUGUUGAUUAAGAUAAUGGCUUGCCCUCUGCUUAUUUUUAAAUGGGAUGCCUGUGUAGCUACUGUGAGAUAUGGAUCCCAAGGAUCUAAAAGGUGAAAAACACCUAGAGGGGGGUGAAUAGGUGUAAACGGUAAAAUAAAAUAAACUCGAUGCGAAUAUGAAAUAAAUGCGGAAAAUAAAAUCAGCACACCGAGAAUUAACGUGGGAAAACCCCAAAUCGGAGAGAAAAACCCACGGGACCGAUCACACAAAGAAAUCCACUAAGAAAACAUGAGUACAAGUGAUUUAGCAAAAAUACAAGACUCAAAAUACCGAAUCCUCGUUGUAGAUUAUCUUUGCUGGUCCACGAUCGCUUGGAACCCUCCAACCGAUCACACUGCAAGUCCUUGCAGCUGCACACGCCUCGAUUCCACGAAACGCCCACCGAAUCCACGGUCUCCACGCGAGAUCCACGCGCUAAAGCUCCAUCUGAAGCUCGUAGAAGUUCAACAAUUUGUGGUGAUUAAAGGUCUUUGAAAGCACAUAUAAUAUGAGGAGAAACUCGAAUUAAAACAUCAUCAAUUUGAUCCUUAACUAAAAUUUGAAUCAAAACGAAGAAUCACUAAAAUUUGAAUCAAAACGAAGAAUCAAAUUGAUGAUCUAAUGCUUGAUGUUUUAAAAACAUAGAACCGAAACUCCGAAUCAAGCCGUUAGGGUUUUUAAAAAGUUAUCUCGCUCAACUCUCUUCAAAUAGAGAUCCUCAUAUCAUAUUUAUAGGUUUAGAAGACUUCUAGAUAGAUUAGGAUUCCAAAAACUCAAUUUUAAAAACUGACGUCGGUCUCAGGGUCCGGUCCUUUCGAGGAGACCGGUUCUUGGGAGACCGGUCCUCCAAGGUGAGGUCCGGUCUUUCGCUGCGUAGAUGUCAAAAUAUGCGUACAGGGACCGGUCCUCAAUUCAGAGACCGAUCCUUCCCUGCGCAACAAGGAAAACCACGUACGGGGACCGGUCCUCAUGAUCAGAGACCGGUCCUUCCCUGCGCAAAAAGGAAAACCACGUACGGGGACCGGUCCUCAUGAUCAGAGACCGGUCUCCCAAACCUUCUACGCAGAGAAGCUUGAUGGGUCCGGUCCCUCUGAUCAAGGACCGGUCCCCAACCCCUGAGUUUUUCCAGAAAACUUAAGUUUGAAUAAACAAAAAGGAAACCAAGUCUUCUAAACAUCUUUUAACAAUGAAAACUUCACCACAAUUUAUUUAUAAUCAUACCUGAGUUCUCAAGGGUCUUUGAUCACAAAAACUUCAAUUCUUUUCGUCAAUCUUCAUCUUCUAAUUCUUCGAGACUCCAUCCAAACCAUCACGAAAUUCGCCAACUUAUAAAAUCCUUAACAGCUACCACAACUACUGCAAUGAGAAAAUGAAAAUAUAUUGGACUUUUUUUUCCAAUACAUGUAACCUCUUUUCCUAGUUCCUACUUAUCACAAAAAUAUUUUGAAACUCUUAAUUUACAUCGGAAAUCUUAAAAAAAAAAAAAAAAACCUUUUUGGUAUGGCGCAUGCCUCGCUUGCAUUUUAUCACCCUUUGGUUCAAAAUGUUGUAAUUUGCUACCCUAUGAUUUUUGUUUUACUCUCCAUAAGGGCCUGUCCUUUAGUAGGGUAGCAAAGUGAUGCAUAGUACAACCAAAGUAUGCAAAAUGUAGCAUUUUAUUAUGCUGUGGUUAUUAAAUAACGUGUGACGCUGUCUUAUAACAGCAGGUCCUCACAGCAAAUAAAAACAAAAACCACAUGGCAGUAAAGUGCUAUAUUUUGAACCACCAGGUAGUAAACUACAAAUGCACUGAAAGCAAAGGGUGGAUUUUUGAAGUUUCCUUUUUCUCUUUUUACCUUGAUUCCUUUAACAUGAAUCAUAUUCCUGUUUUGGCAUUUUCUUCAGCUGGCUACCCAAUCAUGUAACCUUGCUAGCCCAAUUUGUUGAUGAACCUUACCCCACCAGAUCAACAGUUACCAAAACGGUUGCAGAGUUCCGGAGAACGCAUGCAGAUACUUGGGACAUUCAAAAGCAUGUAUUCACAGAAGAGCAACUUGAGGCAAGCCCAAUCGUUUCUUUCUUGGAAUCAUAUAGAGUCUCACCGAGGAAACAUUGGUUAGACAUGUUCUAUCAUGUCAACAAUAACAAAUGACAUGAGCGCUAAACAUGCAACACAAGCCCUUCAAUCCUCACAGGGCUGUGAUUGCAUUUUUGUCGGCCCAGUAUGAGAGCCUUGAUCAAGGAAUGUUUUCUCUUCAUUUUUAUUGCAUUGAAGUAUCUUCUAUCCUCUAAUAAAUCCUUAUUUAUAUUUGCAGGUCCUUGCAGAUACCUCAUUUUCUUUCUCAUACUUUGCUUAGUUAAUCCAUUAUCUCAUCUUGCAGUAGUCCAUAGGUACCUUUAAUUUGGAGAAGUCGUCCCAAAAUUACACUUUCAUGUUAUUUUGUUUUAUUUAGCAAAUAAUUGGUUGUAUUUGUAUCAUCAUAAUUGUAACAUUGUGUUAUAUCCUUGAUAUAUUUAAUUUGGUUUCUAUUCAAGAGUUCAGAUUGCCAAAUAAAUAGGCCAAAUUUUUUAGCAUUGUUUUUUCCCAUUGAUUCCUUGAGCCUUGGAUACCAUUAGCUUGCAAUGGGGCUACCUACUCAAUAUAUGUAAUGAAUUUAGGAACUCAUCAACAUGAACAUACCAAUUUUCACCAUUACUUAGUUUACCUUCUUUCUGUGCACAUGAUACUUCUUCCGAAGAGUCACUUGAAAAUGAGUCUUGUUGCAAUGAGUAUUGACGAUAUGAUUCAAAUGGUAUUUUCAAAUAAAUUUGUAAGAUUAUCAGUGCACUAGCUUUCUUACCGUUGGCUCCUGAGGUGAUUCACCUUUGUCUUCCAAAAAUCUUGGGGAAACUGCUGGUGACUGUUCAUGUGUGGUCAAAUCUCUUUAUAAUCCAAGGGUACAUGCCAAGUGGAUAUUUAAUGAGGCACUAAACCAUCCACCGAGCCAGGGAGACCUUAUUCUUUCAGAGCAUGUUUGGUAAGGCAACUCUUUCUUUUAUUUGGACUUACUCAGUGUGAUAACCUGGCAGCCUAAGUUGGAUAAUUUUUUCUUUUUUUUUUUUUCGUUCUCCUCAGAUGCGAUACUGUGUCCAACUUUGAUACUAGAAUGUGAAGUAGCUGAUACUAGAAUGUGCAGCAAAGAGGUCAAAGCUGUGAGUCUGUACUGGAGCCAUGAAUGAUAUAUGGUCCACUCAGGUACCAUGUGGCUUUGAUUUUUGAAAGCAUGAGACAAUUGAAUGAUGUUUUAGCUGCAAAACUAUCUGUGGGAAUAAUUUUUGACCGGGACUGCUUUUAUUUGAUACAUGGUUGUGGAUGGCUAGGCUGGACCAUUGCAUCUAAUGAACCAGUAUAACUAUUCCUUGUGGUUGAUCUUAUUGAAAUUUAUUUAACUAGGAUGGCACCUUUGGAGAUCAAAUACCAUGCCAUUCAUCCUUUCAAAUUAAAUUAAUUUUAUUUUGAUAAUGCUCGCCCCAUUAAUAUUUUCUAGUUAUCUAAAGAUGAUGCUUUUAUUAUUUCUCUUUUAUUUCUCUGUCUAAUUCCUCUGAAGCUUUUAAAUCAUGGCUCAUAUGCAUGUAUCUCCACAACCCCUUCGAGUCAAAAUUUGCAGAUUGCUUAGCUUGGCGAGCAUUUAAUCAAGUUUGCUGAGAGUUAAUCCUUCCUUUUGGUUGCUCUUACUGAGAUCUCUUCAUUUAGGAUGACUUCUUUGGAGGUCAGAUAUCGCACCAUUCAUCUGCCUAUAUUGUUUAGUUUGCAGUACACAUAAUACCCCAGGCGGAAUUCUUUUAAUUGCUUUGAAGUAUGUUGUGAAGCUAAUAUAUAUAAUAAUUAUGCAUGAUUCACUGGUUGUGUAACUAUGUUUUAGGAAAACUCCUCUCUGACCUGAACUUGCUCCAACUUCUUCGGGAUUGACAUCAAGUUGACUUCUGUUGGAAGUUUGUAAGUUCCUCGCCAAACUUUCUCAACCUUUUUUAAUUCUGCUAUCGCCAAUUUCGUAGACUCGGAUGAAUGGAUUGAGCAGCAACGCUAUUCUAGUGCCUCUUUGGCACGUCAUGCACCUUCACUUAAAGUUCUUUUUAGAAAUAUAAUUUUAUCUAAUUAUGUGCCUAAGACAUAUUCUUACAGUUUUUCAAAUGUUUUUGCUUGACAUUUUCACUUUAGUUCAAGCCUUAAUUAGCAUGUUGAUCAUGAAAAUACGUGAUGGGCAUUUAUUAUACCAAGAAAGAAGUUUCUUCCUUCUUCUAUAAUUGUUCUUGGGGUAACGGAGAAAUCGCCUUUAUAACAUAUCAUAUAUGAGCUUAUCAAAUUAAUGUUUCUGUUGAGAAUUAUUAUCCAAUUCAUCACAUACUUAGAUGUUAUUAGAGCUCAUUCAGUGUAAUUUUACGAAGUACUGACCCAUCUAUCUGUAUUCUUGAGCUACUUCGGCAGUUCCUUUAUAAAUCUUUGCCAGAGUUAAUCAUUGUGUGUGACCUUUGUAUUUUCAUGAGCAAGUAAAUCGACAGUGGUUGUGUUCUUCACAUAACCAAUCGCCCGGUGUGUUCUCACUUUUUGUCUAGUAAUUCUCAGAAUGCCAGCAAUUCAUGGGGAUUACUAGAGGUACCUCUCAUAAUUAGAUUGCUUUUUGUUUCGAAAUUGUGACUUAGUUUUUUGUUAUUCAUUUAUACAGGCAGUUUCUUGCAUAUACGCUUUCCCCUCAUUGUGUAAUUCUAUUACAAAUGCUCUUAUAUUCUAACCCUGUACUCUUUUAUUGCGGGCUUAUAAUUAUUUUUCUUUUCUUUUUCUGUUCCAUUUCAGCUGUACCAUUUGUCCCUUUCUCAAGCCAGAGGAUUCAUCAGAUCCUCAGGUAAGUCCCAGAGAACGCAGUCAGCACCAAAUAUACCACCGUCCCUUUUUCUGUCAUCUUUCCUGCCCUCGGCCUCUUCCCCAUCGUCAUCCUCCCCUUUCUCCCGCAAUAUGCCGGGCUUCUGUUCCGCCGCUCCCCCCGUGCACGUGCUGCCCGUGCAAAUGCUCUGGCUCCACGCGGACGCCUCCCCGUCGUUCCCGUACGAGGUCUCAUCGUAUCCGAAACCCUCUUCGCCCAGUUCCGGGAAUGCUCCGCACAUCCCAGCAAGCCCACUGGACGGCUCCCCAGCGGGCCCCACCAUCGCACUCCACGCCUUGUCGGAGCUAUUGGGCUCAUGCAUGACCGCCCGGGAGAGCCCCAGCUUGAUCCUCCGGAUGGUCUCAUCCUUGACCUCGUCCGGAUUCGUUGGGGGAAAGGCCGUGAUGGUCGGACCGCCGGCGGCUAGCUGCGGCAUCGGCGGCGGAGGGGGUCCGCCGGAGAAGUCGGUGCGCUUCUUGGUGAGGAGGUGGAGCAUCUCGUCCUUGAAGCAGCCGAGGGCGGCCUCCGCAAGGUGGGCCACUUGGGGUGGGGCGAGGGUCGUGGCGAUCUCGGCCAUGAGGUGGGAGAAGGGCUUGUGGGUCACAGGAUCGAUACCCAUCCCGGAGAGCUUCUUCUUCAGCUUGGUGUUCCAGUGGUUCUUCACGUCGUUGUCCGUGCGCCCUGGCAACUGCGCGGCUAUCAAGGACCACCUAUAGUGCCCCAAACCAGGUGUGACUGAGAAAUUCAAAUUAUGUUUUGCAAUUCAAUCAAAAGAAAAUUCUUUCUUUGGUGUGUUAAUCAGAAGAGAUCAGCUUUGGUAUUGUGCAAUUUGCAGUAAAAUUGUCACUGCCAACCGCUACAGCACCUUAGGUUGUGGGGCCAGCUAACCUUUCUGUGCUAGAAGUUUGAACAGCUAUUGCAGAAUUUAUGCCAAACAAGGCUUAUGCUAUAGAAAAACUAUAAUGAAUAAUUUUAAGUACCCAGAAGGGGUUUGCGCGUGAAGAUGCAGGUUUAAGUUGCAGUGGGAUGAUACAAGAAGCAUGAAGAAGAGCAUUGCCUGUUUCCAACAACAGAGUGCAGUUUGACUAUGGUUUGCUCUUCACACUCGGAGAACUCUCCAUGCUUGAGAUCAGGGCGGAGGUAGUUUGUCCACCGGAGCCGGCAACUCUUUCCACAUCGCUGCAGACCUAUUGCCCACGUUUGGCAAGUCACGGGUAAGUUACAUGCAACAAGUUUGUAAUUCUCACAUAUAGAAACUUCACCAGGAAACAGCUAAAUGCCUACUUGGCCUUGCUUAGAGAAUAUCUUCUUACUAAGAAGCAACAGCCGCAGUUUUGACGAACAAAAGAAUCCUAAAAAAUCUAGAGCUUCUGGUAUUUGGAAGCCAAAAUGAGUUUCCAGUCCAAUGAAUAGAAGCUACGAAAAUUUUUCAUGUAGUGGUUACUAGAAAUUCUACUUUUACAGCAUCCAAGCUAAACAGGCUUCUGAGCACAAAUCAAUUAAAGCUUUAGUAGGCACAUAGUCUACAGUAUAGGGCUGUGGAAUUAAUACGCCUGGGAUGAGGUUUGUGUAGCUACCAGCGUUCUUAGGGAUGAGACGCCAGUUGCGGGUUCCAUGUUGCGCGAUAUAGGAGGAUAGCUUGUUGUCUUCCUCCGGGGUCCACUGUCCUCUUUUUACGUUGUCCUUCUCACAACACGGGAUCCUGCCCAUUCUUAUCUUGCUGGCUUUAUCUCUCUUUAUAUCUAAUCUUAAUCUUACUACUCCCCUCUUCGGGCCUCUCUCUCUCUCUCUCUCUCUCUCUCUCUCUCUCUCUCUCUGGAGAUUCGCUGCACCUAACUAAUUAACCCACUCUGGAAAAGGUAAAGACUAGGAGAAAGAGGUUUCACCGUUCCUUCUUUUUCCCUAUUCUAUCUUUUGCUCGUCUUUGUAUUGUAUAAGGCGGUAGCUAUUAAUAUUAUUUGUCCAUGUAGAGAGAGAUGUGAGGAGGGAAGUGGGGGUUCACGUGUGGAUGCAUGGAAGGCUCAAUGAGCAUGAUUUGUAUAAAGAAUUCAACGCCCGUUGAGUGCGUGAGGCUCGGGGCAGGUGGCUCACCCACAAGAUGCCUGGUCAACCCUCACGUCUCUCUCUCUCUCCUCGUUGACCUCUGAAAUUGAGCAUCUGAACGGAAGUGCAGGUUGUUUCUACCCUUAAUUAUUAGCAUUUACUAACUCUUUGAUUGUGCGCGGAGCUUAUUAAGGUAUCUUAUGUGUGCUCGCUUUCGACGCCUGAGAUGAUUCUGCUAUAUUUUUCUUUUGCCCAUUUAUCUUGCUAUUGUGAUCAAUAAUAUUUGAAUAUGACAAUGCGUUCCGAGCUCACAAACUCUAGGCCUAAGAUGCAUGGGCUCGCAACUCCAAUGUUUAUAUUCAAGCAAAAGACGUGAUCUGGGAUUCACAUUGCAAAGAAGGCUUGGUCUUUAAACAUGCUAUGCUAUUAUUUCAUUAUUUUAGGAUGUGCAAAUGAAAUAUCCCAAAUCUUUUAUAUGGCCUGAUGAAACCGACUACCUAUGUGGGUAGUGCCGUAGUGGGCUCGGAGUUUGGUCUGGAUUUUUGUCCGAUUGAAUAACCCUAACCUAAGAUUUUCUAAGUACUACAUUAAUAUAGCUCAAACUCUUUUUUUUUUUUUUCAUAUUUUAUGUUCUCAAGUUUAGUUAAGCCAAUCACAGGCGAGCUAUAUCUGUCUAAUAAACAUACCAAAUUAGUGAGCCACACCAUUAAAUCCUAAACAGUAAGCACGGCCCUAAUCUUACCACAAGAAAUUGAUGUCUUUUGUCUAACUUACUAAAAUUAAUUGAAUGAAAUAACGAAGUUGAUAUAUCUAUUAAAAAAACAAUGUAGUGUUUUUCCUCUUGAAAGAGAUGCUUAAUUUGUAGCCUAAUUUAAAAACAGUUAAGCGUAGACUUUUUGCACAGGGAGAGAGCGAGAGAGAGAGGGAGAGGGAGACCAGUGUUAGAGAAGAUUUAAUAACUUAAUUUUUAAGAAGAUACCAGUAAUGGAGAAGGAGAUUUAAUUACCUGAACUCAUAAGAAGACUAUUGCUGACCCAAUUUCAACUGGUUAACAAGAAAUGUUCCAAACAACCUUGGCUAGCCUCACAAGUUUUUGGAGAUCACUAUGCUGUGCUCAGGUGAGCCAUCCGUUAGGAGCUAAGCUACUGAUGCCAUGCACGGUGAAAAAUAUAUAACACAAGCAGGCAAUCAUACCUGAUAAAUAUCUAUGUUGUUCUUUGUUGCGCAAAAUGCCAAUUCCAAAUGCAUUAGCUGCAUAAACUGCAGAACGCAAUCACCACCAUCAUGGAGUAAAGAGAACUUCAAAAUAUUGCUCUUUUCUAGGAAAAGAAACAACCUCCACCAUAAAUCCAGAAUAUUGAUAGAACUUGGAAGCUACAUUAAAUAUUGCUAAAAGCACAUAAGCAGCAAGCCUGAAUUACAAAAGUUUAUGCAUGAAUCUGAGAGAAAUGCAACAAAAGAAUACAGAGUAUGAAAAGGUACAGGUUGAUUAAUGGUAAAUUUCAGCUGUAAUAAUAGGUAGACUCUGGAGUAGAUUAAUUUACUAAACUUAUGGCAUCAAGAGAUGGAGAAGAGUACCUUCAAUCAAUCUUUACGGAUGAGAAAAGAUAGUAAACAAAAGAAAAUGACAUCAAAAAGCCGAUUGUGCCGGUCGAUAGCAUGAUAGCAAAAGCCAUGAUCAGUGAAUAACCAAGGUAGAGUAUAGCAGAAACAGGCCCACUCAAGCUUCUAAGGUCAAACACCAGGUAGUUGAUCGAGUAUAGGAGCACAUAAAGGGCAACCGAGCCAGAAGCAAAGAAAGCUUUCCACCACCAUUUCCAGUCCUCCACGCAGAGAUGCAUGUAAGUCAAAACGACCGACACUUCGGCACAGACAAUCACAAGCAAUAGGAAAACGAUAAGUAGGAAUCCAAACACAUAAUAGAACCUCCCAAGCCAUAUACUAGAGAGAAUGAAGAAGAGCUCAAUGAAGAGGGUGCCAAAGGGAAGUGUUCCAGCACCAAGAACAAGAAGCCAAGAUGGGUAUUUCCCUUCAGGAAUUUCUCUUGGGAUCUGAUUAGUACGAACUGGGAAUUCUAUAUGUUCAGCCCUUGUGCCCAGAAACCCACCAAAAAGGGUAAGCGGCACCGAGAUGCAGAACCAAAGGGCCAGAAGAGUGAAAAAGAGUGAGAUGGGUAAAGCCCCAGUACUCUUGUUCUUCCACAGUAUAAAAUUUAGUGUGGUGAGAAUUACGAAUAUUAUUCCAGGGAAAAAGCAGGCAAUUGACCAAGAAAGCGACCUCCAUCCUUCAGAGCUACCCUUUAUAGUCCUGUAGAGGCGAACACCAACAUAUCCAGCUGCAAUACCAAGGAAGAGAUAGAGAAUGAUCAUGCCUGUCAACAGCAUUCCUCUCGAGGCAGGAGACAUGAAUCCUAGAGCAGCAAAGAUGAUUGCGACUAUGCCCAUUCCCAAAAUCUGAACUCCAUCCCCAACCAUGACGCAUAGUAGCUUUGAGCAAGCAGGCUCUCUGAAUACAUCGCCCACAACGAGUUUCCACCCUGAAAGCUCCUCAUUCAUCUGAGCUUGGGCUUCUUUAUCCAGCUCCUCAUAUUUAGUUAGAUCUCUCCUAACAGUCCUUAGGAAUAUAACAAAUACAAUCCCCGCCAAGAAGAGGAUAACCAUCAAAGAAUUCAUUAUCGAGAACCAAUGGACCUUUGAGCCCUCCAUUUUUAAAUAAGCAUCCCACCGUGAGGGCCAUCUGAUAUCGCUUUUCACAAACUCGACUUCAUAAGUAAACGAGAUCCUUUCUCGUUCGCGAAUCAUCUGAGAUUUCUCAAUCUCCAGUGGGCAGUUCACAGAAUCAAUUUUAUCAUACAUGUUUUUCUUCAACAUGGAUUCUGGGUCCCGCUUCACACUGCACGGGACAACUUCAAACCCUACAAUCUCAUACCCCGACAUCUUCUUCUUAUCGGUAUCUGAGAUCACUCCAAAGCCCUCUUCCCCCGUGCUAAUAAUCUCCACGUUACUUCCUUCAUACUCAUGAACCAAGACCUUAAACUUCAAGUGGUUGAUAAUAUAAUCUUCUGAACUACCAACUGGAGUGUACCCAACAGGGAACCCAGUCCACUGAACUGUAAGCCCAUUCUGCUCAGUGAACCGCAGUACAGGAAGGUUGUCGAGAAUCAUGUUGACCUGAUAAAGAUCACGGGUCCUCUGCUUCAAAAGCUUCACUUCAUUCUCAUUUAAUGGGUUUGUGGUGCAGAGGUAGAGGGACUCACUAACAUUAACACGAAAUCUAUACGGAGAGUUAUCAAUCUGAUCGCCCAUGAGAAGCUCCCCUAAAUUCUCAGCACUCUUCUUGAUCCCGCCCUGCGGCCAGCAGUAGGGGAGGCUGUAGUAACUGAAAGGGAGCUCGGUCUCGAUGGAAGUAAGGGAGUUGACUUUGACCCAAAUGGUUUCGCCUUGUGCGUAUGUGUGCAUAUAACUACCAGGGAGAUAGAAGGCAUUGCCAGGAGAGACGAUUAAGAGCAGAUACAACAAAGCAGAGAGGAUCAGAGAGUAAGAUCCAUCUGAGAUCCGAGAUCUCGCCAUAUUGACUUCAGCUAUAGCAAAAUUUACACUGCCAGAUCUGUUUGCUCAGACCCUAAUUUAUUCUACAAAUUAACGUCAUCUACUGCGAAUCCUGAAACCAAACAAAUUGAGAGGAAAUACCCCAAAUCAGGCCUAAAAAUAAGAUUUAUAUAGCUAAACACAGUCCAAAUCCGAUCAAUACGACAAAUAAACCCUAAUCCGAACACAACAACGAGCUCUUCAUCAUCCAAAUGUAUGAAAACCAAGACAAAUCAGAUGAAAACAACAGUAAAAUUACCAGAUUACAAGCCCUAACCAACACAAAGUGAGUGGUUCAACCUAAAACACCCUCGAUCAAAGAACAAACCCUGGAUUCCUCCAUUUUCGAUCCGAAAAAACAACGAAACGAUGAAUAGAGAGUGAAUGGAACGGAUCUAGGAAUGGGAGAGUUACCUGAUUCGCAGGACUAGGGCAAGCAGAAGCCAGAACGGGAGGAUAACGAGGAGGGAUCUAGAAGCGAAACAAGGAGAAAUGGGGAGAGGAGGAGGAGUUAAUAAAGAGGACGAGAUUCGAGAUUCGAGAAGCACCCUCUCCGGAUCCGUCUCAGCGUUCGAGGGAGAAGAUGAGUGAUUGAGUGAGGAGAGGGAGUUGGGAGCGCAAAACGAACUACAUUUUAUAUUUUUUUUUAUUAUUAUUAUUAUUAUUAUAUAUAUAUAUAUAUAUAAGCGGAUAGUUAUUGAGAGAUGAAUCUACGGUGUAACAGUUUUUGUGCCAUUGUAACUAUGUGACAUGUGGGCCGGGGCUUUUCCGAAUCCAACAUUUACGGAGUAAGCUAUUGACGGGCCCAUUCUUUAAAAGUAUGAUCUCCAAUUGCGUCUCGUGUAGAACUUUGGUGUUGUGGAUCAUAUUUUAUAUUUCUUAGUUUUAGAAUUUUAGAUUAGAAAAUAUGAGUUUGUUUUUAAAUUAAUGUAACGAAUUGAUUUCUCGAGUAUAAAAGACCCUUGACUUUGCCAAGGGCUGGAUCCCACAAGUAAGCCUAGGAACCAUGAUAAGCACCGUAACUUCAAAAGCAGUACAUGUCAUAGGAAAGUAUGAUUUUCAUAAUAUCACAUUUUGCAUAUCAUAAUAAAUCAGUUAUUAUAUAUUUUUUAUAAUUCUGUCGGAAAACAGAGAAAUAUACCUCUAUAUGCUUUGUUUAAACUCUGUUUUGCCUUGUAGUGUCAGUGAGAUAGAUUACAUGUUAUUUUUAACUGUGCAUUGUGGGCUCCAAAUGUAAUUACAGUCCAACACGCUGUGAUGCGCUCUUCUCUUUUACUCGGCCCAGAACCCUAUUUAAUUUGAUUGGCCCAUUAGAAGGCCCAUUGGGCCUUGCCAAUUGCCCCAUCAUCGCUUCAGUAUUGGCCCACCCAAGAGACCUCGGUUGGCUCCUGCAACCUCCGUCGGCAACGGACCGCGUCGAACCACCGCCCCGUUUUGGCACGGCCUUUUUGGUGCAAUGCGGCCCUCUGCUAAAAAAAAAAAAAUAAAAUAAAAAAAAAGCCCAUUUGCAGGCAUCUUUUGGCACUGCAGUUCAACAAAUUUAUUAUUCAGAUAAUAAAUUUAAAACUCAAACAGUUCGAAAGUUUUUUUGGAACAAAAAUUACACAAUCAACACUUUUUUUAUAUAUUUAUCUGUUCUUUUCUAGAAAGUGAAGGGACCAAUAUUAUAUAUGUCUCAUCAAAGGACAACUAAUAAGGACAGGAUGGUCAACGAUGCAACCAUGCACAGAGAGAAAACACUAUACACUCUGCAACCUACACAACCACCUAAGAAGAAAAAGUUAACCUAAUAUGCUCUAUAUAUAUAUAUAUAUAUAUAUAAAAUAUAUAUACAAGGAAACCUACAUUGAUUAGCAUCAUCAUGGAGAAACAAAGAAACCACGGUAUGGCUUUCCUGAUGUACUAAAAACACACGCAGCUCCAAGCUAUCACGAGACCCGUGCCUGACCCUUCGUCGAUAUCACAUUCCCCGACUAGUCAAAGCAAAGCAAAACAAAACGAAUGCUUAUAAUAUAAACGCACAAUAUAAUGCACUACCAAACACCUAAUCAUCACCACCACCCACGUUAUUUGUUGUCCUAACUCUCCCCAAGAAACCCACCAUUUUUUGUGUCUCUUGAAAUACAAGGUGUUAGUAGUAGAUAAGAGAGAUUCCGGAGAUAACAUCGCUCUCGCUGAGUUUCAAACUCGAUAUCUUAGUGCCCUCUGUGUGAUUUGUCGUAUAAAUAGCCAUCCAAGUGAUUUUUCUUAAUUUUUUUUUAAAACAAAAGAGUAACAUCCUUUCGUUUAGUACUGUUUAGAAAUAAACUCAGCAUAACGAAGUAACUGGAUCUCAGAACCUGAAAUCGCAAAUAGCGAUCAUUAAAUUCUUAGCCAUCGAAAAUUUUUAAUUGGAAAAAACGAAAAAGACAGAGGACAUGCAAACUGUUGGACAAGGCCUGGCACAUUUAUUACUCCGCUCAGAGUGCCGCAUUAUAUAUUCUUUGUCGAAUUUUGUCACGCAUGCUUUAAAUACUAAAGCAGAUACAAGUGGAACCAGCAUUUUGAUUAAGAUGAUUUCCUUUUUGACCUGUCCAAGGGUGGAUAUAUAUUCAAUUAUAACUUGUAUAUAUGUACCAGUAAUAUAAAUCUUCUCCCACCACAUGAAAGAUAUAUAUAUAUAUAUGUAUAUAUGUAUGUAUGUAUUGCCUCUAAAAGUGAACUCAUUUACUAUUCAUUUAGGAAAGAGAGAGAGAGAGAGCAUGAUGCCCCCAUGAUCAGUAUAUGGUUGGUGACGUUGAUUCCCCACCUCUCCAGCGAUCACAUGGGAGGAGUUGGAAAUAGAACAGUUUUUUUCUGUUUUCUUUUAAAAAAAGAAAGGAGAAAUAGGUGUAGGUUACUUGAACUCAUCAUGUUGUGACUUGUGAACAAGGGAGUAGUUUUCCAUACUUUGUCCUUAAAAUCUUUGCAUUUUAAGGUAAGCUGUCCAACUUAUAAAGCUAGUGGUAUGCAAAAAAAAUUUCUCUGAUUUUAAUUUGAAUUAUGAUUUGAUUGAAAAUUAUCAUCCAAAAAAAAAAAUAAAAUAAAGUUAUCAUAUAUGUAACCAAUUAAUUCAUUACUUCAAUAUAUAUUUUAUAGAUCUAGUCUUAGUUAAGAAAAUGUUUGGUUUCCCGUGAAAGUGUACACUUUUUUGCAAUAAACACGAAUUCAAUAAAAACGACUAGGAAUCAAAAAGUUGCACAUAUGUGUCAAUGCAUAAACAAUAUAUAGAUUUUAUUUGGAUACAUGAAAGUUUUAUUUGAUUUAACUUUUCAUUUGACUUAAGAUUGUAGCAUUUAGUUGAUAAGAAACGCGAUCAAAUAUCUCAAAUGAAUAUCAUAUUUUGUCUUUAAAAUCAUUAUUUCAGAAUAAAUAAAUUGUCCCGUAGAUAGAAUAUGUUUUCUUACUAAAUUAUAAAUGCCGAUUUUUAACUUCCAAUUACGUAAAACAAUUUACUUACUGAAUAUGUUAUUAUUAAAGAUUUAAUUCUGAUACCCAAAUUGGUCCUUAGCAAACUUAAAUCCAAUCAAAUAUUAUAAACGAUAUAUGACCAAAUUAUAGGAGAGCUCUUUAUAUGUUUAAUAAAUACGGAUCCAAUCAAUGAUCCAAUGAUAUCCAAGGUACGCAUUGCAGUCCGGUCAUAGUCCGGUCCAAUUUAGAUACAACUACGCUAAAGCUCCAUGUGCUAAAUUGUACGGCCAUAUUAAUAAAUAUGUGCAAAUGUCAACCAACUGAGCAAAUAAUAAAUGGUGUAACCAUGCAUGUGACAUCCCUGACUACAUAUAUAUCUAUUUUUGGGGGGAUCAAAAUAAAUGAGGGGAAAAAAAAAAAAAAAAAAGUAGGUCGUUCACAUGCUCGUUGCUGGGCCAUUGAAACGUACGCUAAUGCAUAAUUUUGCUUAACAUAUUUAUACUGCAAUUAAUCCAUCUCCAUGCGCAUCUCAAAUAUAAAAAAUUAUAUAAUGUACAAGUUAUAUUGCCGGUACUGUAUUCUCAAUCAAUAGAAUUGUCCCCUUUAAUUUUACUGUCCCGCCAUGAUUAAUAAAAAAUAUAUUAUAAUUUUCGCUCAAGAAGAGAGAUAUGACUUGCUUGUUAUUGAUGAUGUGGUGUAAGUAUGACACUAUAACCUUUCUCCUGAUAAAAAAUACACAAGCCCCUCUCGGUUUAUUAUUUUGUAUAAGACUCUGCAUAUGUGUGUUUUCUUACUUGAAUCUAGAAAUACAAAAUAAAAAAGAUGUUGUGUUAUUUGAGGAGGUGAGUUGUUUUGUUUUCAUAUAAUUUUUCUUACUGAUUCACUAAGAGUGCGUUUGUUUCAAACAUAGAAAAAAACUGGCGUAAUUUAUAUCGUGUGGGAUAUAUCUUUUAAACACAGAAAAACGCUACCUACCGACUAUCAAAAGGUGCGAGCUAAUGAUCAACGGCAGUGCCUAAGAUGCACGCAACAAUUUCUAUUCAUACAUAAGGUGGGCAUAUGGUUCUUGCUUAAUUUCAUUAAAUUCCACAUGCCAUUCCCAACAUGAUCUCUUUUCUCACCAACAUAUAUAUAUAUAUAUUGACCUUUACUCACCUCUAUAAACAGGUUAUGUUUAAUAAGAAAAGUUAUUUGACUUUAUAGUUGUUUCAUUAUAUAUUAAGUCACCUUUUGAUGCAUCCACGUCCAAACCUAACUUCAAUUGUCUUAAAAGCAAGAUGCGUUUUUCACUUAAUUCCUGCGUAUCUGGACCAUAACCACCACCUUGACUAUGAAAGAUUUGAAAAAUGAACACUAAAUUUUUAAAUUUUGAAUAUGAACUUUCAAAUUACUCUAUUAUAUGUUUAUAAAAUUUUAUCCAGAAUAUAUAUAAUUUAGAAUCGGAUAAAACAAGUUAUCCAAAGUUUCUUUUUUUUUUUUUUUGAGAGAUAAGUAGUAUGCUACCCCCUUCGUUUAUUUCAUUUAGAAAUAAACUUAGCUGGAAAUAUAAAUCAACUAGAACUCGAACUUGGGUCUCGGAUAUCAACCACCAAACCCUUUGCCACUUACUUUAGGGACGGUCGGUAGUUAUCCAAAGUUUCACAUGCUAAACGACGUACUCUUUUCACAAGCAGCUCUGUACAGCAACAAUAUUAAUAGUUGGACUCACUCUCAAACAAGCCCCCUCUCUAAAUAUAUUCAACAUCCUGCAUAAAUUUUCACCACCUAAUGGAAUGUUCUGUAAUUAACUUUUAAAUAUAUAGAAGUUUUCAUUAAAAAUCAAAUAAAACUUGAGUAAAGAUUUUUUUUUUUUUUUAAAGGUUGUAGGGUGUGUCCAUGCAUUUUAGUCCAUGCUAUAUAUACUAUUCCCAGCACAAAAACAAGUUCCAUAGUGCUGUACAUGUCACGCCCCUCAUUGCCCGCGGUCACGAGCAAAUUAUGUACUGAUUUUGAUUGGAUAUAAUUAAAAAUACAGUCAAAAUGUAACAACUAUAACUAUUAACAUUUUAUUUGAUUGAACGUAGUAAAAAAUAUUAUAACUAUAAAUAAUUUAUUUAGUUACAUGCACUUGAGAAGUGCAUUUCUAAUUAAAAAAUAGUUCUUCGAAUAUGUGGCGAUUAUGAAGAAGAGAUUAUCCGUAGCUCAAAAAAAAAAAAUUCAAACUGCUGUAACUAGAAUUGUGACCAAUUUAAGAAUAGUACUAAUUGCUGCAGUUAAUUAUAUAUAUAUAUAUAUAUAAUUUUUACUGUAACAAUUAAAAUUAAAUAUUUUGGAUCAAAUACCAAAUUAAAUUUUACAUAGGCGCAGUGGAACAAUCAAGUGGCACACACGUAAACGGUGGCAACAGCCGCAGCUAAAAAAAAAAAGAAAAAAGAAAAAAAGAAAAGAUUGUGACGAGACAAGUCUAUAAGACCCAUUGUGAAUGUCCCCUUAUGAGAAUUACAGCUGGACCCAUUAAUGUCGUUUAUACGGACCUGGCCCAUGCCGUUUUAUUAAUGGGCCUAAUGGUAGCAGGCAUAGGCCCAGAGGCGUCACUGGGCCCAAUUUUCGUAUCAGGGAUCAGAUUGUGCCUGGCCUUCGCUUCUCUAAUGCGUACUCGUAAAUAUUUUUAAUGAUCUUCCGAGUUAUAUUUUGAACUUUCACCUGUAAAAAAAAAGAAUACCCCAUUAACUUUUAUGAAGGAACAACGAAGAGAAAUUAAGAUUAUGAUAAUCUGUUCUCUGGGAGUAGCACUACAAGGAUGUCGCAUUGCCUCGCCAUAUCAAAUAUAAUUAAGAUUUCUGAAUUACAGCCAAGCAAACAAUGUGAAUAAAAAAAAAACAAAAUUGUAGGCUUUUUGUUUUUUGUUAUUUUAGAAAAAAUAAUACAAAGAAUGUCACGUUGAAUCUCAGUUUCUCUUGGAUGCUAUAAACUUUAAUGCUAUCCUCAAGGUGCAUCAAGGAGAGAUUCUUACUAAACACAACACCUUCCAUUGAAGGACUCGUAGCUUUUUUCCGCAAUNUUUUAAUUUGUUAGAAUUAAAAAAAAAAAAGAGAGGUGAAAAUUUACCGUAUAACACUUACACCGUAUCAUCUAUUUCUAACCAAUCAUCUUUUUUUUUCUAAAAAAAAUAUAAUAAAAAUAUUUUUUAAAAAAUUACAAUGGAAUGAGUAAUAUUAAUGUUGCCAAGAGAGAGAGAGAGAGAGAGAGCAGCAGCUGUACGGCAGAGUUGGGGGGCCAAAUCAAAGUCGACAAAUUGUAAAAGGGAAUAUUGGGAAGUGCAUAUGACAAAAAGGACUUUAUAAUCCAACUUUGCUCCUGCGCUUUUUUUGGCCCCUUAUAAUUGGAAUUGUUGAAAGAAAUUGACUAAGGUCCUGUUUGGUUGUGGAAUAAAAGGGUAAUAACCCUUUUUAUCCCACUAUUCUUGUCAAAUAUAAAGCAAAAUUGGCAUGUUAAUUUAUACCUACGUUAAUAGGUUAUUCUCGAAUAACCCGUUAAGAGGAAGAAUAGUAGUUCCAUGUAUUGGGUGGAACAAGCUAUUCUCUAAUUUAUUCCUUCACUAAGUUGUAAAUAAUUAUAAAUUAUAAUUAUUUAAUACAAUUAUUUUUUUUAAUAAUUGACUAAUUAAUUUUUUGAGUUAUUAAAUUAAUAAAUAUUUAAAUAAUAAUCUAUUUAUAAUUUAUUAUUAUUUAUCUAAUUAAAUAGUUAAAUUUUAAAAAUUUAAAAUUUUAAAAUUUAUAAUUUGUAAUGUCACGCCCCGGAUUACAUAUUUUUCUGGGCACAGCAACAGACCCACUGUAUAAAUAGGAAUUUUUUCUGUAUACGAAGCGAUAGCUGUACUAGUAAACAAAUCGAAGCUACAACCACAAGGUAAAGAGCUGCUAAAUAGANUAAUUUCAAAUUUUAAAAUUUCAAAGUUAAAAUUUUAAAUUUAAAAAUAUAAAUUUAAAAAUUUAAAAAUUCAAAUUCAAAUAUAAUAAGCGUAUAAUAUCAUUAUUUUUUAUUUAUAAAACCUACUAUCCUUAUUAUUUCAUCUUACCUAACCAAACGCUAUUUUUUUACUCCCAGGAAUAGUCCAAUUUUCAUCCAAACGUAAAAUUGAUCUAAUCCCCGCCCAUACCUCAACCUAUUCUUGGAAUAGUCAUUUUUUGCUUAUUCUCGAACCAAACGAUACCUAAGUAUAUAUCUAGUGGCCUCAAAGCUCGGCUCCCCAGUACUUAGUACUUACACACAAAUGCUCCUACUACUUAUUUCCCCUUUAUUAUUAUCCAUGCCCUAUAUAAUUUUAUCGAAUAAAAAAUUUUAAAUAAAAAAUUACCAUAAUUCAUUUUAUUUUAAUUUUUGCAACGCAAUAUAUUUAAUUUGGAGAACCAAAUAUCCUUCCAACAAUCUCAAAUGCAGACUAACUUAUCGUUAGGCUGAUAAUAGUUCGGUAAAAAUAUAUUAAAAAUUAUAACAAUUGCUCUUUCUAUUUUAUUGGUUAUUUCUUUGUAGGUAGAGGCCAGUGUCUGUAAUAUCAACAUAAUGUCACUCUCUAUUUUUUUUUUUUUUUCAUGAAAUAGGGCAUAUCAUUUUCUGUUUUAAUUUUGAAAAAAAAUUGGCUAACCAAAAGUAAAUUUUUUUAUCUUUGAAACGAUAAACUAUAAAAGGUGACAGAAAAGAAUCAUGUUCAACUCUUUUCAGCAAAGUACACACAAGACAAUUUUUUGAAAUAGCGAGGGCACCAACUGCCAAUGCAAACUUUUGAUCACAUAAAUUUUAGAUAUUCUAAAAUCGACCAGCCUUAUCUUUGGAGGUGAAAAGUGUACAAUUUGGAAUCUAGCUAGGUGAGGAGAAAGUUUACUAUAUAAUACUUACACUAUAUGAUCAAUAAUAAGUCAAUUAUUUUUUUACUGACUGGCCCUAGAGUAAUUGGCAAAAGGCUUGGUGGUUGGUACCCGAGAUCCAAGUUCGAAUCCUAGUUGAUUCACAUUUCCAGCUGAGUUUAUUUCUAAAUGAAAUAAACGAAACGGGUAACGUGCUACCUAUCUCUCAAAAAAAAAAAAAAGUUGAUUAUUUUUUAUUUAAGAGAAGAGUACAAUAAAAAUAAAUUUAAUAAUCAAAAUAAAAUUUGUGAACCCAAUAAAAUAAUCUGAUUAGUUGAGAACACCACAUCAGCAACAUAACUGACGCACUUUAGAUCUUUUUCUUUCUUUUUUUUUGAGAGAAAGGUAGCGCGCUACCUGCUUCAUUCAGUUAAAAAAUGAAUUAAGCUACAUGGGUAAGACAGUACAGGCCUCAAUGGAUGGCGAAACGAAAAAAAAAAAAAAAAAACUAUUUACAGUUGGGUCACCCUCAAAAGUUUACAGUGGUUCACUUCUCCGACCUAAUUUUUUUCUAAUAAUGGCUGUCGUGGGAAUGUAUUAUAUAUAGAUCUAUGUGUUAGGUAUUUUCCGUAUCCCACAGUGGAGACAAAAAGGAGAAUAUAUAGACGGAGAGAGAGAGAGAGAGAGAAUUUAUCUUAGCACGGCGAUAGCGACCCAACGGAGGCGUUAUGAAAAGGAAAGCGACUCCACUAUGCACCCUUCUUGGCCCCUUCUUUUCACUAUUUUCUUUGGUCGAACAAUUCUCAUUCUCUUCUUCUCUUUUCUCUCUCUCUCUCUCUCUCUCUCUCUCUCUAUAUCUCUUUUGUUGGGAAUUCUCUGCCAAAACAGAACAAAAAAAGUGCAAGUGGUGAGUGAAUAGGCUACUGAUAAGUCAUUCACCGGUCUUUAUUUUCAAGAUAAUUGUUAUUUUCAAGAUAAUUGUUACCGUUAACAAGAGUAUGUUUUUUAACAGAAUAUAAGUAAAAUAAUAAUUUUAUUAUCACAAAUAUAUCUAUCCAAAAGUUUCCAUCUGUUAAAAUUAUGUAAAAACAUCUUUUCAAAAAUUUCAAUGGUCAUCUUUCUACCAUCACAAAUAAUAUAAGAGAGAUAAAAAGGUCAAUUUGUCUUAUUAUCUAUCAUAGUUAAAUAUUUUACUUAAUUAACUAUAUUUUUCUAACGAAUCCUAAUAAUAGAAGUACAUUUGAAAAUUUAAAAUUUUUACCUGAAUAAGUAUAAAAAUUUAAAUUUUAUAGAGCUAUAUCUACUAUUUGAUAUAUUUACAAAAAAAAUUAUAUAUAAUUAAUCCUAUUUUAAAUGAUAUCUAAAUAAAUGGUUCCGUGUACACUUUUUCUCUCUCAGUUUUCAUUAUAAUUUUGAAAUAUUGAAAAAACAAAUUGAAAUUUAUUUAUAAAAUAAAAAUGAUGCUAUUAAUUGUUGCAUUAUUGAUUUGUUUUUUUUUUUGGAGAAAGGUUGCAUUAUUGAUUUGUAAAAUCUUAAUUGGUGCGAUAAGUUGGACAAACGCAUCAAGUUAAAAUCAAACGAAUUUGGACGGUGGUUUACGAGGCGGGCCUAGCGAUCCUACGGCGUAGAGUAGGGGUGUCAUUAUUCGACAUGGUCUUGUCGCUCAAGUACACUGUAAUGUUAUGCGCACGCAAACCCAGCCUUUUCUCUCUCACUCUUUUUCUUUUUUUUUAUUUUUUUGCCCUUUACAGCGCUUUUUGGGGGCUUUUUUGGGUACCCUUUAUUAUCCUAUCUCUCCCUAGGAGGUAGGCGUAGGUUAGUUACCCAAGGCGCAUGUUAGCUCAGGCCUUUAUCUUAUGUGGGGCCUCUCUCAAACCAACCGAACAUGCCGUGACGUGUCGCUCUCUCAUUGGUUGAGGAAAAAAUCUGCUAUCGUACGAAACGUCGUUCUGAGCCUCGCGUAACCAAAAAUGUACCCAAAAGAGUACCAUCGUUCACAAGUUUUGUUUCAGUUGUAUUUUUUUAAAAUUUUUUAAUUACCAUUGCAAGAAAAAUAUGCGACUGGAAUAAAAUAUAUAAUAUUAGAUAAUUUUUUAAUGAAUAAUUAUAUGUUUAUUAGCUCGCUCUGGAUCCGCGAUAUUUUAUUUUGAUAGUCUUAGUUAAAAAUAAAAAAUAUAUUUUGUAUAUACAGUCAUAUCGUUUUUUUUUUAAUCUAAUGUUGUUUGUCAAUUCUCAAUAUCUAACUUAUCCCACAAAAUUAUUAUAUUAUCUUUGUAGUAGAAAUAAAAAUAUUAAAUUGGAGAUUUUGUUUUGGUCAUUACAAUUUUAUUUAAUAAUUAUUAUAGUAAAGCUAUUAGUUUCUUUUAUAAUUGUUACAUACUCCAUCAUAUAAAAUAAUAUAUAUAUAUAUAUAUAGAGUCCGGCUACUAUGCUAUUANUAAUUAAUUUAGUUUCUAUACUUUUAAAAUUAAGAUAGGUGUUUGUAAUUUUUUGAUCUUUGGAUUAAGAGAUAUGCAGUUAUGAUGAUAAUAGUCUUCUAUGAUUGAAUGAAUAGUUGGUUGAAUAGUAUAAUUUAACGAAUAAAAAUAAUUAAAAAAUUAUAUCUAAUGAUAAAAAUUUUAUAAAUACCAAAUGAUUUAUAUAAGAAAAAUGAAAAAUAAAUUGGACCCAUGGUAAGGAGGAAUUCUACACUGUCACACUUGCACCAUGUCAUCAAUAACAAGCCAAUCAUAUUCAUUCUUUUCAAACAAAAGUAUAAUAAAAAUAUUUUUUACAAUCAUGAUAGGACAUAUAUCUCUAAAAAAAAUAUUUAAUUGAUAUGUUACGUCACGUCACCAAUAUACCCGUUGCAUUCUAGAAUUUUUUCAUGGUAACAGGAGGUAUUCAUUUAUUUGCCAACAUCUCGCGCUCUGCCUCCUUCUGAUGACGUGGAAGGUUCUCAGCCGUUACUAGACCGUUGAAUCUUGAUCGGCACACGAGACAAAAGGGAAUUACACAUUUUACACCAUCAUCAUAAUUGCCAAAUUAUUGGCGCAUUAAUUGCAACACAGAGAUUUUCUCUACAGUGUCGAUUUAUUAUUUCUCCCCCCCGACACAACAGUGACUUGUCACUUAUUGGUAACUGCUCCGAUCUAGUAAAUAAAUUUAGGAAAAACUUCAAAAAAUCCCCCUGUGGUUUUAUGCAUUCUCACUUUACUAUCCUGUGGUUUAAAACGUAUCAAUUUGCCUCCCUGUGGUUUCAUUUUUAUCUUUUCGGAAGCUUUUUCGUUAACAUUUUGUUAAAUUAUAUACAAAAAACUUCAGAUAACCAUUUAUAUUUAUCGAAUAUUCACUUUAGUAUCCUUUAAUUUUAACUUUGUCACUAAUUUAAGAAAAAAAUAAUAAUAAAAUUGAUAACAAAAAGAGAAAAACGAAACCACAGGGGGGCAAAUUGAUACGUUUUAAACCACAGGGUACUAAAGUGAGAAAGCACGAAACCACAGGGGGGUUUUUGAAGUUUUCCCAUAAAUUUAUUUGUUU
rnacentral:lncRNA from 1 species